rnacentral:rRNA from 1 species
CACCAAGCUUCCAGGAAAAGCCACUAAGCUUCAGUCUAGAGUUGACCGUACCGCAAACCGACACAGGUGGGCAGGAUGAAAAUUCUAAGGCGCUUGAGAGAACUCAGGAGAAGGAACUCGGCAAAUUAACACCGUAACUUCGGGAGAAGGUGUGCCCCGGUAGCGUGUAGAGACUUGCUCUCGAAGCGCGAUGGGGUUGCAGUGAAAUGGUGGCUGCGACUGUUUAAUAAAAACACAGCACUCUGCAAACACGAAAGUGGACGUAUAGGGUGUGACGCCUGCCCGGUGCCGGAAGGUUAAGUGAUGGGGUGCAAGCUCUUGAUCGAAGCCCCGGUAAACGGCGGCCGCAACCAUAACGGUCCUAAGGUAGCGAAAUUCCUUGUCGGGUAAGUUCCGACCUGCACGAAUGGCGUAACGAUGGCCACACUGUCUCCUCCUGGGACUCAGCGAAGUUGAAAUGUUUGUGAAGAUGCAAUCUACCCGCGGCUAGACGGAAAGACCCCAUGAACCUUUACUGUAGCUUUGCAUUGGACUUUGAACCGGUUUGUGUAGGAUAGGUGGAAGACUGUGAAGCCGGGACGCUAGUUUCGGUGGAGUCAACCUUGAAAUACCACCCUGAUUUGUUUGAGGUUCUAACCUUGGUCCGUGAAUCCGGAUCGGGGACCGUGCAUGGUAGGCAGUUUGACUGGGGCGGUCUCCUCCCAAAAGGUAACGGAGGAGUACGAAGGUACGCUUAGGGCGGUCGGACAUCGCCCACAAAGUGCAAUGGCAAAAGCGUGCUUGACUGCGAGACCCACAAGUCGAGCAGGUACGAAAGUAGGUCAUAGUGAUCCGGUGGUUCUGUAUGGAAGGGCAUCGCUCAACGGAUAAAAGGUACUCUGGGGAUAACAGGCUAAUUCCUCCCAAGAGUUCAUAUCGACGGGGGAGUUUGGCACCUCGAUGUCGGCUCAUCACAUCCUGGGGCUGUAGUCGGUCCCAAGGGUAUGGCUGUUCGCCAUUUAAAGUGGUACGCGAGCUGGGUUUAAAACGUCGUGAGACAGUUUGGUCCCUAUCUGCCGUGGGCGCUGGAAAUUUGAAGGGGGCUGCUCCUAGUACGAGAGGACCGGAGUGGACGAACCUCUGGUGUACCGGUUAUGACGCCAGUCGUAUCGCCGGGUAGCUAAGUUCGGAAGAGAUAAACGCUGAAAGCAUCUAAGCGUGAAACUCGCCUUAAGAUAAGAUUUCCCGGAGUCUUGAACUCCCUGAAGGGUCGUCGAAGACCACGACGUUGAUAGGUCAGGUGUGGAAGCGCAGCAAUGCGUUAAGCUAACUGAUACUAAUUGCCCGUGCGGCUUGAUCC